rnacentral:rRNA from 1 species
GAUGAACGCUAGCGGCAGGCUUAAUACAUGCAAGUCGAGGGGCAGCACAGGUAGCAAUACUGGGUGGCGACCGGCAAACGGGUGCGGAACACGUACACAACUUACCUUAAGGUGGGGGAUAGCCCAGGGAAACUUGGAUUAAUACCCCAUAAUACAGGGGGCCCGCAUGGGUCUAUUGUUAAAGAUUUAUUGCAUUAAGAUGGGUGUGCGUCUGAUUAGGUAGUUGGUGAGGUAAAGGCUAACCAAGCCAACGAUCAGUAACUGGUGUGAGAGCACAACCAGUCACACGGGCACUGAGACACGGGCCCGACUCCUACGGGAGGCAGCAGUAAGGAAUAUUGGUCAAUGGACGGAAGUCUGAACCAGCCAUGCCGCGUGAAGGAUGAAGGUCCUCUGGAUUGUAAACUUCUUUUAUAGGGGGCGAAAAAGGGCCUUUUGAGGUCAACUGACGGUACCCUAUGAAUAAGCACCGGCUAACUCCGUGCCAGCCGCCGCGGUAAUAC